UGCACGGUGGCGCAGUUGGUAGCACUGUUGCCUGUUGCAGCAAGGAGGUCCUGGGUUCGAUUCCCGUCCAGGGGUCUUUCUGCAU